rnacentral:sRNA from 1 species
CAGAAACGUAAGAUAUGUAGACAUCAGUCAUCGACACUACUAGCAUCAGAGGAUUUUAUCAUCUCUGCAAAGCGUUAUUGUUACAUGGUCCGUCUUCACACACAAAGUAGCGCGCCCACCACUACUGCUAUAAUGGCAAGGCCAUUCAUACCUUGACAGAAGCAAAAUGAUCCAAGGGUCAUUGCCAUGCGCUCGGACCACAUAUAUACUAUCAAUUGGAUGAUAUCUACAGGGACCAGCUGGCAGGCAGGUGUACCCUCUGGCUUGCAGUUGUGUGUUCAAUAUGAUGUAUGUCUUCGUGUUGGUUGUUGCUAGUCACAGUUCAUCAGCAUCGUUCAUUAAUAUUUUCCUCCUCUCCAUCUACUUCUUCAAUCGCUUAUCAUUCAGCCCGUUCGUUUCUAGCUUGCUCCUCCACAUGCCUGUUACCACCGGACACUUAUAAUCGGCUCUCGAUUGCAGCCGACAAUCAUGCCCACACGGCAGCAUACAACAGUACCACCACCACUUCUUUUCCCUAUCAUCAUUUGUUGUCUUCAAACCCCUAAUAUCAGCGCAGUCUUCCUUUUCCCUCACUCUCGCAUCUUUACUCCACAAUCCCUCGUUGUAACAACAUCCAGCUGUUUGAACCUUGAUCUUCUUUUUUUGAUCGACAGAAGCGGUCAUCCCGCCUGACGGCAAAGCAGCUUGACGGCUCGACGCGACGUACGCAUACAGUGGUAAGUCCAUGACUGUUAGGAAGGGCCGCUCUAU